UCCCACCCAACUGUUGUCACACAGAAACAGAUUUCUAGAAGGACAACAAGUGAGAAUAAUUUACGAUAGUUUACAGCAUCACCUCGGAGCUGAGGCCAGGAUUUGGAAUGUAGUAGUGAACUUAACGGAAAAGGAGUCUCGGUCUCUCCUCUCUCUGUAGGAAACCCCGGUUCCUGAGCCACAUGGAUCCGCAGAGUUCCAGUUCACUGCCCAACACAGACCGGCCCAGGCCUCGGAAUGGAGAAGACAAGUCACUGUGAAAGGGCUCGGGUACUGAUAAGUUGACUGAGGUGAAAGAUGUUUGUCAGGUUACGCAUUUCCGAACAACAACUUGAGUAAAGAAACUUGUUGAACGUUUUGCCCAGCCGGGGAA